rnacentral:rRNA from 1 species
AUUGAACGCUGGCGGAAUGCUUUACACAUGCAAGUCGAACGGCAGCACGGGUGCUUGCACCUGGUGGCGAGUGGCGAACGGGUGAGUAAUGCACCGGAACGUAUCCAAUAAUGGGGGAUAACGCACCGAAAGGUGUGCUAAUACCGCAUACGCCCUGAGCGGGAAAGCGGGGGAUCGUAAGACCUCGCGUUAAUGGAGCGGCCGAUGCCGGAUUAGCUAGUUGGUGAGGUAAAGGCUCACCAAGGCGACGAUCCGUAGCUGGUCUGAGAGGACGACCAGCCACACUGGAACUGAGACACGGUCCAGACUCCUACGGGAGGCAGCAGUGGGGAAUAUUGGACAAUGGGCGCAAGCCUGAUCCAGCAAUGCCGCGUGUGUGAAGAAGGCCUGCGGGUUGUAAAGCACUUUCAGUGGGGAAGAACGGAUACGGGCCAAUACCCGCAUCACUGACGUUACCCACAGAAGAAGCACCGGCUAACUCCGUGCCAGCAGCCGCGGA